UGAAGGUGGAGUCGCUAGUAAUCGCAGAUCAGCAACGCUGCGGUGAAUACGUUCUCGGGCCUUGUACACACCGCCCGUCACGUCACGAAAGUUGGUAACACUCGAAGCUUGUGGCCUAACUCUUUUUGAGGGGGAGCGGGUGAAGGUGGGGCUAGCGAUUGGGACGAAGUCGUAACAAGGUAGCCGUACCGGAAGGUGCGGCUGGAUCACCUCCUUU
rnacentral:rRNA from 1 species